rnacentral:ncRNA from 1 species
AGGUGCUUGCCCUGCAAGAGAAUUGGGAAGCCGGUGAAACCCCGGCACUGCCCCCGCAACGGUGAGGGUGGAAGAUGCGCAAACCACUGAUCAAAGAUUGGGAAGGUUGUGCAUCGCGGCAUUUGCCAUCCGCCCCGAGUCCGGAAACCAGCCUUGGUAUU